CCUCUUUUAUUAAUUUAUAUGCAGUUUUAAAAAAGUAACAGCAGUUUAAAGGUUGGAGAUUGGAAGUAAAAAAAAUCUUUGCAUUCUGCUACCUUAAAAAGCGAUUUUCCUGCUAUAAUAAAACAUGUGUCAGAGUAAGAUUGCAAUAUAAUACAGGAUUUUUUAUUGGGCAUCCUGAUAUCACUUUCCUGUAUAUAUUAUGGUCUAAAUUUAGUAACUUCGAACUUUAUCUUUGCUGCAGCUACCACAAAAGGUUGUACAGCAUGCAUCAUGGAGACCAGUUUUAUUGAUGGUGCCCAGAAAGAAACCCCAACAUUUAGUCUACAAAAACUGUGACUCCUAGUCAUUUAGAAACAGAGUUGAGGGUGUUCAACCUUGUAUCCAUUGGGCCUUUGAAUUCUAAUUGAUAUGCAAAUGUUAAAAACAUUUUCCUAUUUAUAUAUUACUAACACAAUAUUGUAUACAUAUUUUUAUUUAUAAAUAUACAAAAUAUUUUGUCCAAAAGUGUUUCCAAGAGAAUGUGAUCUGUAUCUUAAGUUCUUAACAAAUUUAGAGAAUUUCAAUGUUAUAUAUUAAGUAUGAAGAAUAUUCAACAUUACUUGAAAAUAUUCAGAAAUCAUUAAAAAUUAAAAUACAAUUCAAAAUACCUGCUGAAAGGUAAGAUUACAGAUAACUAAAAUUUGACUCUGCUUUUCCUUUCUUUAGAUCAUAAUAUAAUCAUUAACCUAUAUAUCCCUCAAAACCAUGCGGUUGCAUAUGAUGGGUUUUUAUUUAUUAUCUCCCUCACUUAAACUCUUAGUGAGCAGGAAUAUCUGCAUGUACAACUGAACAUUUUAGAGAAUAUACAUUCUAACUAAAUAACUUUCUGACCAUUUAUCAGUAUUUGGUGAAAAACUAUUUCAUGUAUUUAACACAAUUUGAUGUAAGUAAAAAUAUACAAUGAAGAACUAUAAUGAAGUUGUUUACUUGGUUUUGUGACAAAAACAAUUAUGAUUACAAUUCAACUUUUCCCUUUUUCUUGCAGUAGAGAAAACUGAUGGCAAAAUGUUUCCAGAAAAGCACUUUGGAUGAAAUAAAUUCAUAGUGUUGUUUUCAUUUUUUUGCAUGCAAAAAACAUCUUUUUGAUUUACAAUGGAACUUCGUUAGUGAGUACGCUUCAUUAGAUAGUUCAAUGAACCAUGAUCCCAAUUUCAAUAUAGACUUGUAAGAGAGAUAGCUCAGAUAUCCUUCUUUACCUGUUUGAUAAUUUGAUUGGCUAGUUAUAACUACAUGUAUUGUUUUUCUCUCUGAUAAGUUUAGAGAAGUGACAUGAUACUUAAUAUAAUUACUUAUUUGACUUAUCAGACAUCCAUAUUUGCAGAUGCAAGAGGAAUAAAACAGAUUUACAGUUUAGUUAUUUUUAGCUUAAGAUUUUCCUAGUAAAGUGGAGAUAACUCAGUGCAAAACAUUUUCCAUUACCUAUAAGAAAAAAACAUACAAGCAACAAAACAUAUACUUUUAAGGAUCUGGUGUCAGUUUCACAAAAAAACUUACGAAUAAGAUUAACCAUAAGUAUACUGAAUUGUCCAUGACUAAAGAUCAGCCUUAACUGUAAGUUUUUAGGUGAAACCAACUCCUGGUGUAUUUUGCAAGUACAUGUUUAUAAUGCAUUUGCUACUUUACAUGUUAAUAACUUUUUAGUUGACUUUUGGUUUUGUAAAUGGGAGAUAAUCCAACUUAAACUUUUUGAACAAAUUACAAAUUACAUAUAUACCUCCUUACUUUGAUAUUUUCCCUAAGUAACCAAACAAAAAAGGAGUUCAAGUGAAAUUACAAGAUUUACAUCUAAAUAAAACAUAGUACUAGAACAACAAUGUCUUACCCUAGGGGAAAUAACUCAUAAAGAAAUUAUAGAAUCCAAAUCCAAGUCUGAUAUAUGAAAAUGAAAUACUAUGUUUAAGUUUAACUAAUUUAUAUAUAUGUCACUUCUCCUGUUGCUUCUUAUACAAAAUUAUAAAAAGUCAAAAUCAUUUCAUGGUCCACUGAACAAACAACCAAACUUUAUCCCUCUUCUUACACACUUAAGUAUGUUAUCUGAAUUGAAAUACAUUUUAUAAAAGUAUUUACAAUUAUAAAUGAAUAAUAAUAAGAAAAUAAUAAUACAAAAAUCAUUGAUAACUAUUCAAUUUUAAUAUAAUGUUAGAAACAAUAUUUUGAUUGAGCCAUUUCAUCAUUUCUGGCUUAUCAAACAUAUUGGUUGGUAUAAAUGUUGAUACGACUAUUCACGGGGGGUCUCAACAUGGGAUUUUGGGUACAGGUGUGCAGCUGGGAUUUUAAAAACACCCCCCAUUCAUAUAUUGAAUAAUUGUGAAAUCCUAAACCUUUAUACAUAUAUUUCACAGCAGCGAAAUCAUAACCCAUGAUCAUAUUUUUGGAAAUUCAGUUGAAGAUCGUUGCAAACAAACUGAUUUUGACCCAUUGAAAUAUUUACGGUAUUUAACCAGGUCUCAUUAAAAAUAUCAUGCAUCGGUAAAUUGUUGAACAGGGUCCCAGAUAAACUUGCAACUGGAUGAAAAAGUUGACGUAAUUUUAGAACCCAUUCCGGAAUGGCACAUAAUAGCGAUAUACCUUAUAAUAGGAAGAGACCCCCCCCCCGUGCGACUAUUACUCUCUCAGUUGAUUUAAUGGUCUAUCGUUUUCUCUUUUCAGGCUCUAUUAUUUACAGAGAUGUUAAUCCUAACAUGUCUUUAAACUUAUUAGCAGUAACAAUGUGAGAACAAUAAAAUAUACAACCUUAAACUAUGAAUAUGAUAAAAAGGCAAGAUAAAAAAGUGACUAUUAGUAUGCAAGGUAUAGCAUUGUCUUUAUCUAUUAUGAAAGAUUAAAAUUAAUUAAUGUUUUCUUAAUAUACAAAAAUACUUUCCUGCAGAAUACCUUGAGAUCGUAGGUAGAAAAUUUUAAUAGCUCAAAGCCUCAAACCUUUAUCAAUGGUUGGAUAAUUCAUUGUUUAUUUGGUUUUUAUUUAUUUCAUUACAUCCCCAUUCAGUAUGCAAUACAGUGAACAAUAAAACUGAAUCACUUUCUAUAUACAUUUUAAGUCAAGUGCUAGUAUAUACUCUAGACAUGUAUCAUCUGCACCUGGUCUAGGAGUAAACUGUAAACAGUAUGGAGAUGUGUUUUUUUUGCCAAAAGACCAAUGAAAAGUAUACAAAAAAAAUGGAGGUCACUGUACAAUUUAAAGUUAAGAAAUUAAUAUUAAAAUUUCAUAUAGUACAUAACUGCACAAACACACUGGUUUUUUGGCUAAACAGAAUCUUCAACAUAAGCUAACCAAUACUGAUAAGUAACCAAUAAAGGCCCUCUAUAUCAAAACAUGAAACAAUACAAUCAAUAAAACUAAUGGCACAAAUAGGCUAACAAUAUUAUAUGUAUAUGAAAAAUAUUAUGACAAGACAUCAACUAACAACAACCACUUAGACUAUAGUCAUUCUCAAUUCUGCCUUCACAAUGUAUCAGGGUUUAUCAUUUGUGAGCAGUCAAAACACCCUCUAACCUUGGUGUAACAGCAAUAACAUAGCACAAACUAUUGUAACAUACUUUCCUCAUUUCUCAAAAAUAUAUCAACAGGAAAGAUAAAUAUAUAAAAUGUAUAAUAGAUAAAUAAUUAUUACAUAAAUGUUAUUCAAGCACAACAAAAAAUUCAUCACAAAAGUUUAUAAAUUCAUAAAUUUGUCUUUUUGAUAAUUGCACAAACAUACAAUUUUUGUCAAUAAAAAGAUAUAUACAAUUUAUAUAAAGUGACAUUUAUAAAUUUGUAUUGCUUACUUAAAUUGUAUACUAAAACAGGUACGUUAAUGGGCAAUAUCGCUAGAGGAUGUGUAACUGCAUAUUGAUAUCAAAGAAAAUAUUCAAGUAUUUUUUUAUAUUUUUGAAGAUAUUUUCUAAUUUCUUUAAAUAGUAGUACAAACGCAUAAGAUGCAUUUAAAUAUCACCCAAACAAAUAUUUUUACUAUAAAUUGAGUGAAUUGUUUACAAUAAUUACUUAUUUUCUUUACAUUUGUGCUUUUAAUCUUUAAAAUUUGCCAUAUUUCAUAAAAGUGACAUAUAUAUAAAAAAAAAAUGAUAAACAUGUAGUUAGUUCCUCAUGCUCUGGUUACAAGCAAAAUUUCAUUAUAGUCCAUGAGAUCACAAAUUAAGUACCUAUAACCUGAAAUCAGACCUUAUUACAGUUCAUUAAUACCUUGUUUAGCCUUUAUUUUCAUAAAUCAAGAUAGGUUCUUCCAAGACUACAUCAAUUAUAAGAUUUUAUGAAAAGCAUGUCCUUUUUACCAAUUUUAACAUUAUAUACUUAAGGAAAUACUGGCAACACACUUUCUGACCAAAAUAAACGUGAGAUCAAAAGUUUUAUAAAAGUAACAUACAUACGAUAUUGGUCAGAGCAUGUAGCCAAUGUUUCCAAAAUCAACAAAUCAACAAAAGUUGGUCAGAAAUUACAUUUUUAUCUAGUGAUAGUACACAAUUUAUGACAUUAUACAUCAUAUUAAGUCAAAAACAUUUUUUUAAAAGUGUUAUUGUACAUCAUCAGUAAGAUGACUUCAAUUUUGUUAAUGCAAAAAUAAUGCUGUUAUUGCCGUUUUUUAUUCUUUUUCAGGGCCAUAUAGCAAUCCUAUGUGAACUUUAUAAUAUUCAUUACGUUCUUCUGUCAUAAAAAAAGGUCUUCCAAAUCGGACAUCCACCUGUACAGAUGCGUGUUUUGCUCAACUGGUCAAAUUAAAACAGAAAGUUUCAGUUCAAAAACAAGGCAUCAUUAAUGGCAUUAUUUCCUUUAAAUGCUUUAAAGAGUCAAUACAAAUACACUUGCUAACAAAUCACUUUGCAAAAUAUAUAUAUUUCUUUUUUCAAAAAAUAAAUAUUUACAGUAACCAUUUGUAAGCCGAAGACAUAUAACACAUAAAAAUUAUAUUAAUGAUAAAAAUGCAUGCAAAUUAUGUAAUGUUUUGAUUUUAUUAUAUACAGAAUGGUGCUAUGGUUUUUGGAAUGCUAAUGUCAUGUUUGAGCAAAUUUAUUUCAUAAUAACUUAUAUUUAAAUGUUUUGUAUGAAUGUUUGAUUUGUAAUGCAUUUCAGAUAUUAUUUGUUAGGCUUGAAAAUAUUUACAACAUACUGUAGCUAAUUUAACUUUAUGCCAAUAUCAAAAGUUGCUUAAUUAAUUAAUUCUUUACGAAAUAAACAGGUCAAACCCUAAAUAAUUCCUGCAAAGAAGUGAAGUAGAGUUCUUUAAAUUUUGGUUAAAAUCUGUAGAGGACUAUAUUGAUAUAUUGGAGUGUUUAUUUUCCUUCUUUAAUUAGUGAUUCACAAAAAUUUCACAUAUUAACUUUAAAGCCUCUCAAAAAUUAUAUUCAAGUAUUCAGAAAGAUUAUCUAGAGUUAUAAAAUCGCUGAUGUCUAUUUUAAAAUUCAGAAAUAACACUUAAUGAAAAUUAAUGGUUAUUGCAAACAGAAUAAUGUAACAAGAAUAACUAUCACAGACUAUCAUCUAACUUUUAUACUGUACAAAACACUAACAAAACAGGAAACAAAUAACUGUACAAAAUCAGCAAACAAAAAACUGUACAAAAUCAGCAAACAAAUAACUGUACAAAAAUUAAGU
rnacentral:lncRNA from 1 species